UGCCAGCAGCCGCGGUAAUACAUAGGGGUCAAGCGUUGUCCGGAUUUAUUGGGCGUAAAGAGCUCGUAGGCGGUUCAACAAGUCGGAUGUGAAAGCCCCGGGCUCAACCUGGGAACUGCAUACGAUACUGGCAGACUAGGGUGCGGGAGAGGGAGGUAGAAUUCCAUGUGUAGCGGUGAAAUGCGUAGAUAUGUGGAGGAAUACCAGUGGCGAAGGCGGCCUCCUGGCUCGAUACUGACGCUGAGGUACGAAAGUGUGGGGAGCAAACAGGAUUAGAUA
rnacentral:rRNA from 1 species